GGAUGGACAUACCUCUGGUGUACCAGUUGUCGUGCCAACGGCAUAGCUGGGUAGCUAUGUAUGGACGGGAUAAGUGCUGAAAGCAUCUAAGCAUGAAGCCCCCCUCAAGAUGAGAUUUCCCAACUUCGGUUAUAAGAUCCCUCGAAGAUGACGAGGUUAAUAGGUUCGAGGUGGAAGCGUGGUGACACGUGGAGCUGACGAAUACUAAUCGAUCGAAGACUUAAUCAAUUUUUAAA
rnacentral:rRNA from 1 species